GUUACAGAGAAGACAAUUCAAUCGUAUAUUUGAGUUAGGAUAAGAAUACACCUAUGGCAGUGAAGAUAAGAUAGUCUAUAUUUUGGAACUUAGCCUGUGUGUUACCCCAAAGACAUGUCAGUGUUACUGGAAAGACAUUUCAGAUCAAGUUGAUGGAAGA